GGCUUCUUAAAAAAAAAAAAAAAAAGGAAACAUAACUAGAAAUAAAAAGUUAGGCACAGGACUUUGGAAAGAACUCUGCGAGGGUCCAGAAGGUUAAACUUCGCUGGUGUCACAGAAUAUCUACCUGUGCUUAACAGUAUUAACACAUGUGAUACAAGGAGGGUAAAUUAUCCCAUUAAAUAACAGUGGAGUAUUUCCCACUGUAUAUUCACCUCUGCUUAACAGUGAUUUUAAAAAUCUGCUAAAAGGAAAAAAAAAUUCAAUGAUUAGCACGAGAAUAUUUUUUAAAUGGUAUCUGUGCUAUUCGCUUCCAAGGUAUUAUUUUUUCCCUCUAGUACUUUUUAAAUCGUUUCAUUGAGGUAUAAUAAACUGCCCAUAUUGAUGAGCUUUGAAAUAAGUAUAUACCCGCAAAAGUACCACCACCACCAAGAUAAUGAAUAUAUGGUGCUGGGAAUACAGACGUGAGCACUUUUUUUUUUUUUAACACAGAAAAAUAUUAACAACCCAAACAUAAAAGAAAGGAA
rnacentral:lncRNA from 1 species